GACGAACGCUGGCGGCGUGCUUAACACAUGCAAGUCGAACGGAAAGGCCCUGCUUUUGUGGGGUGCUCGAGUGGCGAACGGGUGAGUAACACGUGAGUAACCUGCCCUUGACUGUGGGAUAACUUCAGGAAACUGGGGCUAAUACCGGAUAGGAGCUCCUGCUGCAUGGUGGGGGUUGGAAAGUUUCGGCGGUUGGGGAUGGACUCGCGGCUUAUCAGCUUGUUGGUGGGGUAGUGGCUUACCAAGGCUUUGACGGGUAGCCGGCCUGAGAGGGUGACCGGCCACAUUGGGACUGAGAUACGGCCCAGACUCCUACGGGAGGCAGCAGUGGGGAAUAUUGCGCAAUGGGCGGAAGCCUGAUGCAGCAACGCCGCGUGCGGGAUGACGGCCUUCGGGUUGUAAACCGCUUUCGCCUGUGACGAAGCGUGAGUGACGGUAAUGGGUAAAGAAGCACCGGCUAACUACGUG
rnacentral:rRNA from 1 species